rnacentral:rRNA from 1 species
GAUGAACGCUGGCGGCGUGCUUAACACAUGCAAGUCGAACGAAACACCUUAUUUGAUUUUCUUCGGAACUGAAGAUUUGGUGAUUGAGUGGCGGACGGGUGAGUAACGCGUGGGUAACCUGCCCUGUACAGGGGGAUAACAGUCAGAAAUGACUGCUAAUACCGCAUAAGACCACAGCACCGCAUGGUGCAGGGGUAAAAACUCCGGUGGUACAGGAUGGACCCGCGUCUGAUUAGCUGGUUGGUGAGGUAACGGCUCACCAAGGCGACGAUCAGUAGCCGGCUUGAGAGAGUGAACGGCCACAUUGGGACUGAGACACGGCCCAAACUCCUACGCGAGGGAGCAGUGGGGAAUAUUGCACGAUGGGGGAAAACCUGAUGCAGCGACGCCGCGUGAGUGAAGAAGUAUUUCGGUAUGUAAAGCUCUAUCAGCAGGGAAGAAAAUGACGGUACCUGACUAAGAAGCCCCGGCUAACUACGUG